AUUACUGAAGUGAACGUCUCUCGAUAUUUUUCUUUGCCUACAACACUAGUUUAACCAUCACCCACACCAUUAGUCGACCUUAGAAUCAACCAAGUUCAUGCAAGUACCCUUCUCUUACUCUCAUCCUCUAAAAACUUCGCAUCUUCUUGAUUCACAACAACUCCCUUCAAAUCCCCAAAAUCUGAACUUGCUUGAUUCAUUUUUUGAUAAAAUAAAUUCUGGAUUUGUACUUGUUUUGAUGAAAUAAAUUAAGGGUUGUUUUUUGUUUGCUAUCAGAAAAGAGAUCGAAGCGAUUUUAAGGAAAUGAUGUGCCUGCCCAAUUCUGAACAACAAAGUGAAGAAGAAGAAAAAUAUUUCAAUGGUGGUUCUAUUACAACCUCUGAAUCUGAAGAUUAAAAAAGUGAUGGAGGAGAAAUGGAGCUGAAAGAGAACCAUUUUUUUGUUAUUUUCUGAUUUUAACUGUAAUUCCAAAUAUGAAAAUCAUAUAAGAUUAUAGCAGAUGUUUUUUUGUUUUUUGUAAA